rnacentral:rRNA from 1 species
AUGUGCUCCGUCGUGUCCAUGUUUUCAGAUCUUGACCCAUCUCUGCUCUUGUUCCUUCACAGGCUAAAAUGCAUCAAAUUCAAAAAUAUGCUCAGUGAGAAAUUUCUAAUAAUGAGAAGAAAAUCUCUUGCCGAUGGCAUUGUGAAAAUCUCACAUGGGAAUGAGACAGUGAGCUGGUUGGUAGUUACUAAGAAAUUACAGGGCUCGCUUGUUCGUCAUGAUGUCUGUAGCACAGAGAUAGCUAUGGCAUUUUCUUUGCAGGAGACAGAGGAUGGAGAGUAUGAACCUUAUUUAAAGCAACAACCUGUGUUUGCUUUCCUUCCUCUAAGGUACUACGGUCUUAAAUUCAUUCUUCAAGGAGAUUUUGUCUUGCCUUCUUCUAGAGAAGAAGUGGAUGCAGAUAGCGCAUGGAACCAAUGGUUGCUGUCUGAAUUCCCAUCUUUAUUUGUUAGCAUACAAGAAUCUUUUUGUGCUCUGCCUUGCUUCCGAAAGUGCCCUGGAAAAGCUGUUACAGCCUUGAUGAGUUUUGUGCCUCUACCGGGAGAAGUUCAUGGGUUCUUUUCUCAGCUCCCUCAUUUGAUCCUUUCCAAGUUGCGCCUGACCUGCUGCAUGGUUUUGGAGGGCUCCAGUUUGCAGUGGGUCCACCCAUGCAACACACUAAGGGGUUGGGAUGAACAGGCUAGAAAGCUAUUGCCUGAUACCAUACUCCAUGAACAUCUUCACCUUGGAUAUUUAUCAAAAGAUGUUACUGUAUCCGAUACAUUAUCAAGGGCCUUAGGUAUACAUGAGUAUGGACCGAAAGUUUUGACUGAUGUUAUGUCAUCUAUUUGCCAAAUUGAUGGUUGCAUUGAGUCACUGGGACUGGAAUGGCUAUGUGCUUGGUUUGUUACACUUCAUUCGGCGUUGCUGUCUCAUUCUUCUCAGGAUCUUCCCUUUAGAACAAAUUUUGAAAGUGAUACUUUAUGUUCUCUCAGGAAAAUGCAAUGCAUCCCACUUUCAGAUGGUUCAUUUCGCUGUAUAGCAGAUGGCCCAAUAUGGUUGAAUUGUGAUCUUCUCGACUCUCCGCCUGGAUCCAAAAUCAGCAUGCAGAGCUUCCCAGUUCUGUACAGUAGCCUUCGCAUUGUGAGCCCACACAUCCUCUCCAUGUCCUGCAAAAAUAGUUACAUUGUCGAAGAGACGAGAACAAAUGACCUUAUAGAUAUUUUAUUGAAAGUUGGUGUGCUGAAGUUGUCUGGACAUGACAUUAUAAAAAAUCACAUCCUGGUGUCAUUGUCUAAUGCUACAGAUGCUAAUCCAGAAGAGAAAAUGAUGACAGAAUAUAUGAGUUUUAUCAUGCUACAUCUUCAGGCCCCCUGUAUAAGCUGCAACCCAGAGAAAGAAGAGAUUGUCUCAGAAUUACGCAAGAUGCCUGUCUUACUUACGAACAAUGGCUAUAAGUGCCCAGCUGAUGUACCCAUUCACUUCAGUAAACAUUAUGGAAAUUCUGUGGACAUAGGCAAGCUCCUUCAGAAUGUAGAUAUGGCAUGGAUUGAACUUGACACUUGUUAUUUGACACAUCAUAGUUCCGCUUCACUGCAAUUCAAUUUGCAAAGUUGGAGGCAAUUUUUCGAGCAGUUAGGCGUGACCGAUUUUGUUCAGGUAAUGGAAGUUGAGAAAAAUAUAUUUGAGGCUGAUGACUUUCAAAAUGGUACUCCCUUCCAAGGUGGCAUACCUGGAACACCUUAUAUUGUGUAUGACUGGGAGUCGCCAGAAUUGACGACUAUGUUAUCAAUACUCACCUCAAAGAAUUUGUGA